CGUGGCUGCCCACACGUCCUUCCGUUCGUCCGCUGCCUGGGAGCUCGCGCUGGAGCGCUGAAGGCGCCGAUCCCGGCCGGUCAUGCUGGUGAGCAGUAGGCUGAAGCGCAUCUUGCGGCUGGUGCCCGGGAAGCAGCGCUUCGGAGCUUACAGGUUCCUGCCCUUCUUCUUCCUCCUCGGGGGAGCGAUGGAGUGGUUCAUGAUUAACGUCCGCAUUGGCAAGGAGACCUUCUAUGAUGUUUACCGAAGGAAACGAUCUGAAAGACAGUACGAGGAGAGGAUGGCAAAAAAUGAACUUUAGCUGAAACACAUCAAGGGAAAGGUCCUUCAUGCUUCAGCUGUGUUGAUACCAGAAAAGCAUUCCCACCACGGUGAUGUGUAUUUCCUAUCUUCUUUCCGACUCUCAUCGCCGCAUUUCCAUCCCAUCUUCCAGCUUCACCCCCAUCUAUUUCCUGUGGUGGCAGGCAAUGAGAAGCAAGAACUCUCCUCAGGCUCAGAGCUCAGGCCAGCACUGGCCCAUGCUGCUGCUGCUGUUCUGCACUGUGGGAGCAAGCCAGGAACACAGCUGAGCCCCUGCCAGUUCUGGGGUUGAACACGUCUAUUCCUUCUUCAAGGAGUUCAUCUGGCAUCAGCCCAGAACACAGCUCUGCAUCUAAGAACAGGGGUCUCUUGUUCACUCUGCAGAAGCCACAGCAGCAGAUUCUGAGGGUCAGCAAAACAUUUCUGCUGAAAGCUUCCCAAAUUGCAGCAGUCAAGCCAAUAUAGGUAUCAAGCAUGAACAUUUCAACUCAGCAAAGCAGCAGCUGUGAAUAGUCAUGCUGACAAACAGCAAUACUUGUGUACGAAUAAUGCUGCUCACCCCUUAAGCAUUACAAAGGGAACAAUUUCACCACCAAUCCACAAUGAUUUUGCUGGAAGAAUGGAUCUGUUCAUACGUUAUUUUCCCUGCUGCUCUGCAUCCUGGGUUGCUGUCUACUGAAAGACCUGUGCAGAGUCAGAGAAGUACUGAAAAACUGUUGUAAAAGCAGCAUGUGUGUGCCCAGCCUGUACUCCUCCGUGGCACAGGGGUACAGCAGUGUUUUGUCCCAGCUUUUCAAAGAGUAGAAGAAGGAAAUAUUAGUCCUCUCUUAUGUACUGGUGAAUUCUCCCUGGAGCAUUCACUUUUUGCUCUCUUCAGUGGACGUGAGCUUUCACUCAGAUACAAAACUGUACCUGCACUCUGGUUUUGGUCAGCCCCAGCACCUUCUAAAAAAGGCACAGAACUCUGCAACAGGCACUGCUGGGAUGGCCUGUCAUAAGGAAUUUCCUUAAGUCAUUACUGGAUGUUGGUGCUUCAAACUCAGGAUGAGGAUUAAUUGCAGCACUCCCCAGAAUUAUUCAAUAGGAACUGAAUUUGGACACUCCCUGUGGAGACAGUUGCACAGGCUUCAGGAAGGACUUGCCACCCUUUACCAUUUUUGUCCAAGUCUUUCAUUGUGCUUUGCUUAACCUGAGCUGAGCCACACGGGUUGCUUGCGUUGCUGCAUAAUUCAGUGCAUUCUCCAUCUCCUGCUGCCUCCUUUAAUAGGUAAUAAUCUCCAUGGCCAGACUUCUGUGCUGGAUUUAUGACACCCCCCUUGGUACAGGAAGGACCAAUCAUAGGAGAUCACUGUGUCUCUGAAGCCUGACAGAUUGGGAAUUUCUUCAUACAGGAUCCAGAUCCUACUGCACUGCAGCGUUCUGUUCCUUUGUAUAAUGGUCAAAUUAGACUUGCUGGAAAAUGCAGUAAGCAAAAUGAGUAUGAGCUUUAUUAAUCAGAAAAAUUCACAUGUAUCAGCGAAUCAGAUCCCAUUUCUUAGUUGAUAUUCAGAGUGCCCAGGCAUUUCAAAACACUGCUCCAAUUUAGUGCAUUUGCAGCCAAGACGGGGUGACACACACCUAUGGAUGAUCUUAAUUGUCCCAGACUGAGCAAACAAGAUGUGGAAGAUUAUUAGAAUUAAUCUCCUCUCUGCAACUGUAACAGCCAGUUGUAGAAAGGUGGAGGUACUGUAAAGCUGGCAGCCUGCAUGAGAGGCAGCAUUUAUCCCCCAAGUCAAAGACAUAAAUGUGUGUUAAUUAAACAUAAUGCUAUUUGUUCUGGUUGGAUAGCUCUUUGUAAAUUUUAUGUCAGAGUCACCUUGACACUUGAGAAGUUGCUGUCAAAUUUUCUUGAAGUUUUUGCUAUUAAAGGAAAUUUCUAUCCUGGUUUCUAA